rnacentral:lncRNA from 1 species
CGCUUCAAAAUCACCAGAGAAGAAAAUGACGAAAUCGAAGAACCACACCACCCAUAACCAAUCCUACAAGGCCCACAAGAACGGCAUCAAGAAGCCCAAACGCCACCGUCACACCUCAACCAAAGGGAUGGAGCCGAAGUUUUUGAGGAAUCAGAGGUAUGCGAGGAAGCACAACAAGAAGAGUGGUGAAUCUGCUGAGGAAGAGUAGACUAAAAAUCACAAAUGUGCCCAUAAUCCAUUUUCUGAUAGUGCAGAUGUUUACUAUAGAACC